GACUUCAUAGUGUAGUGGUUAGCACAUCUGCUUUACACACAGAAGGUCCUGGGUUCACGCUCCAGGUGGAGCCA
rfam:Pteropus alecto contig73914, whole genome shotgun sequence.